rnacentral:rRNA from 1 species
UCCUACGGGAGGCAGCAGUGGGGAAUAUUGCACAAUGGGCGCAAGCCUGAUGCAGCAACGCCGCGUGAGGGAUGACGGCCUUCGGGUUGUAAACCUCUUUUAGCAGGGAAGAAGCGAAAGUGACGGUACCUGCAGAAAAAGCACCGGCUAACUACGUGCCAGCAGCCGCGGUAAUACGUAGGGUGCAAGCGUUAUCCGGAAUUAUUGGGCGUAAAGAGCUCGUAGGCGGUUUGUCGCGUCUGCUGUGAAAACUGGGGGCUCAACCACCAGCCUGCAGUGGGUACGGGCAGACUAGAGUGCGGUAGGGGAGAUUGGAAUUCCCGGUGUAGCGGUGGAAUGCGCAGAUAUCAGGAGGAACACCGAUGGCGAAGGCAGAUCUCUGGGCCGUAACUGACGCUGAGGAGCGAAAGGGUGGGGAGCAAACAGGCUUAGAUACCCUGGUAGUCCACCCCGUAAACGUUGGGAACUAGUUGUGGGGUCCAUUCCACGGAUUCCGUGACGCAGCUAACGCAUUAAGUCCCCCGCCUGGGGAGUACGGCCGCAAGGCUAAAACUCAAAUGAAUUGACGGA